AACGAACGCUGGCGGCAUGCCUAACACAUGCAAGUCGAACGAGAUCUUCGGGUCUAGUGGCGCACGGGUGCGUAACGCGUGGGAAUCUGCCCUUUGGUUCGGAAUAACAGUUGGAAACGACUGCUAAUACCGGAUGAUGACGAAAGUCCAAAGACUUAUCGCCAGAGGAUGAGCCCGCGUAGGAUUAGCUAGUUGGUGUGGUAAAGGCGCACCAAGGUGACGAUCCUUAGCUGGUCUGAGAGGAUGAUCAGCCACACUGGGGCUGAGACACGGCCCAGACUCCUACGGGAGGCAGCAGUGGGGAAUAUUGGACAAUGGGCGAAAGCCUGAUCCAGCAAUGCCGCGUGAGUGAUGAAGGCCUUAGGGUUGUAAAGCUCUAUUACCCGGGAUGAUAAUGACAGUACCGGGAGAAUAAGCUCCGGCUAACUCCGUGCCAGCCGCCGCGGUAA
rnacentral:rRNA from 1 species